rnacentral:rRNA from 1 species
AUGGCGGACCUUGUGGUUGGCAUGGCCAAGUCGGUGGUGGAGGGAGCGCUGACCAAGGCCCAGGCGGCCAUCGAGGAGGAGGCCAAGCUGCGGCAGAGCGCGCAGCGCAACCUGGUGUUCAUCACUGGCGAGUUCCAGAUGAUGCAGUCUUUCCUUAACGUCGCCGACAGUGACCGCCUGGAGAAUCCGGUGGUGAGGACGUGGGUGCGGCAGAUCCGCGACCUCGCCUAUGAUGUGGAGGACUGCAUCGAGUUCGUCGUCCACCUCGACAAGAAGAACAGCUGGUGGCUCCGCCUGAUCAAGCCGGCGAGCUGGCUCCUUAGGCCCUGUGUGGAUCAGGGACCGCUACCGCUGGAUGAGGCGGUCGACGAGCUGGACCGCCUCAAGGCCAGGGUGGAGGAUGUGAGCAGCAGGAACACGCGCUACAGCCUCAUCAGCGACUCCGGCUCCAAGCCCGUCACCGUGGUGCAGCAAGAUCAAAAGCCAUCACUCCGUGACGCCGCCGACGGCGCGGCAGCAUUCAACAGCCUCUUCGAGGCGGCAUUCAAAACCACUCAAAAAGGGCGCCAAAGUGAUCUCACAAAGCUGCUCACCACCAGUAAGGGCCAUGACCUCCGAGUGAUCUCAAUCUGGGGCACCGGCGCCGGCACCGGAGGUGGGGAGGAUCUUGGGAUGGCAACCAUCGCCUGGAACGUCUAUGUUGAUACAGAAACCUGCAAAAACUUCACCUGUCGUGCCUGGCUGAAGCUGAUGCAUCCUUUCAAUCCCCAUGAGUUCGUCCGUUCUUUGACGGCUCAGUUCUACACCACGACGUCCGUUGGUGGUGGUGUACAGGCCCUGAUGAAGAUGGAGGCAACACGAGGAGGAGAUCCCCUCAAGGAUUUUGCGCAGCUUGUCGCGGAAAAUAGGUACCUCGUUGUGUUGGAGGACCUCUCCACCAUGGCAGAGUGGGAUGCUAUCAGGAGUUUUUUUCCAAACAAGAAGAAUGGCAGCUGCAUAAUCUUGUCCACGCAGCAAUUCGAGGUAGCAAGUUUGUCAGUGGGACAUCCAUACCAAGUGCAGCGUCUCAACCAGCUAUCAGCAGAGCACUCUGUUUACGCCUUCUUUACAAAGGGAUCUCAAUAUGAAGCAGAUAAAGGCAAGGAAACCGAUCAUGCACUCACCAACAACAAUGGGGCAUCAAUGGGCAGUACCUGUAAAAAAGAUGCAGCCAAGAAGUGGAUGGAUGAGCAUCCCCUUGUUGGACGCAAGUCAGAAACGAAUAAUCUUGAUCUGAAGGUAAUUUUGGCACGGCGCAAAACCUACCAUGUUAUGUCUGUGUGGGGAAUAGCUGGGGUUGGAAAAUCAGCUCUCGUCAGAAACAUGUUCUGCGAGAGAAUUCUCAAGGGAAAUCUAUUUAAGAAGUUUGGUUGGGUGGAUGUAUCACAUCCUUUCAAUUUAUGGGACUUCUCUCGAGUUCUACUUGCGAGUCUUGGUUCUGCAUAUAUUCAAGCCAGUGAAGCUGCAAACUUGUGUAUGAUGGGAAGUAGAAAUCCCAUUGUAGAGUGUCGUGAGAUUCUGGAAAAGCAUAGAUGCCUGGUUGUUAUAGAUGGACUGCAGUCCAUGAAAGAAUGGGAUCUCAUAAAAACUGAGUUGGUAGAUGGAUCCCAUCAUCAGAAUGUUAUGAUCGCUGUUACAACUGAACAAGAAAUUGCCACUCAUUGCCGAGGAGAUAAGGGAAAACUCGUGUUUAAUGUCAAAGGUCUGGAAGCUGACACCGCCAUUGAACUCUUCAAGAAGGUAUCCAACAAGGAUGAAGGGCCAGUGCUAGAAGAACUUACUUCAAUAUGUGGUGGACUUCCCAAAGUAAUAGUUGAGAUGGCUGGCUCAUUCUUGAAAAAUACAGAUCGAUGGAAAGAUGCACUCUCAACAAAUAAUAAGAUUAUGUCAGAGCUCGAGAACAACAGAGAGUUUGCUAGUCUAAGGGGUCUAUUUGGUUGGAUGAAUAUGUACUUCCGCAAAUGCCCAGAUUAUCUCAAGCCAUGUAUCUUGUAUCUACCAAUUUUACCUCGAAACCACCUCAUUCGGCGGAGGCGACUGAUAAGGCGGUGGAUUGCUGAGGGUUACUCUAGGGACAGCCAUGAUGAAUCCGCGGAGAUGACUGGGGAGAAACAGUUCUCUGAGCUCCUUAACCUGAGUAUAAUUCAGCAGCCAUCUGCGUUGGGUUUGGGUGACACAAGGAUGGUCUUGUGCCAAGUCAAUGGCUUCUUUGGUGAGUACAUUGUCUCACGCCAAAUGGAAGAGAACCUUGUGUUUGAACUUAGUGGAAGUUGUGCUGUAACCACCCAACGCACAGGACGUCACCUUGUGAUAUCAGAAAGCUGGAUCAGAGAUAGAAUUGUGUUCGAGAGCAUUGACUUUUCUCGGCUCCGGUCACUGACAGUGUUUGGGAAAUGGAAAUCAUUCUUCGUCUCUGAAGAUAUGAAGCUGCUCCGGGUGCUUGAUCUAGAGGGUGCAUCCAAUGUAGAGUAUGGUGAUCUUAAUAAGAUGGUUAAGUUGAUGUGCCGCCUCAAAUUCCUCUCACUGCGAGGAUGCCAUGAAAUCAACCAUCUGCCGAGUUCAAUAGGAGGUUUGAGGCAGCUCCAGACUCUUGAUGUUCGACACACCUCCGUAGUCACCUUGCCAGUGAACAUCACCAAGCUGCAGAAUUUGCAGUACAUCCGUGCGGGAACCACCGCCCCAGCAAAGAUAGCGCGGGCAGCACAUCAUUUAGUGCCCCAGCUGUCCAAGUUCUGUGGUGGCCGUCAGAUGGUUGGUGUUGUGGUGCCUCCAGGGAUCGGGAAACUGACGGCAUUGCACACGCUUGGUGUUAUCAAUGUGAGUGCUUCAAGGACAAAGGUCGUCCUAGAAGAUCUCAAGAUGCUCACCCACUUGCGCAAGCUCGGAGUGUCUGGCAUCAACAAGAAUAACAGCAGCAAGUUUUUACAUGCAACCGAAGAUCUUGUCCAUCUGGAAUCACUGUCAGUGCGACUCGAAGAGAACAACCAAGAUUGUUUGAAUGAUAUAUUGCUGCCUUUGGAGAGCCUGCGGAGUCUUAAACUUUAUGGGCUUGGAGACCGGUUGCCUGACUGGAGCGCAAAGCUCACCAAGCUCACAAAGAUGGUUUUGGAAAUAGCCAAAUUAACAGAAGAUCUUGUCUCCGUGCAACCGGAAGGUGUGGCACAGCAUGGAAGAAGGGAACACACUAGUGGCGUCAUCAAGUUCCUAAGCGAGCUAUCAGGACUAUGCAUUCUACGUCUUCGUGUCGAUCAUCUUCAGGAUAAUCAGCUUGAUGUGUCCAUAAUUUUUAAUAACCUAGAGGUGGAUUCUUUCGAGAAAAUAAAGAUCUUCGAGAUUGCUUGCAGCUCCAGCUCGCAUGUUACUUUUGGAGAGAAAACAAUGAAAAAACUUGAGCAGCUGAAGGUGGACUGCUGCAGUGGGUCGUCACUCUUAGGCCUGAAGCAUUUACCUGAACUCAAGCAAAUUUUGCUCACGGGUUCUAGCGGCGAAGAACUGAAGAUCUCCACACAGAACUUGCAAACUACGCAAAGCAGAAGUGUGAAGCUGGACGAACUACGCUCCUUGUCCUCGUAG